rnacentral:rRNA from 1 species
UACGUAGGGGGCUAGCGUUGUCCGGAAUCAUUGGGCGUAAAGAGCGUGUAGGCGGCCAAACAGGUCCACUGUGAAAACUCGAGGCUCAACCUCGAGAGGUCGGUGGAAACCGUCUGGCUAGAGUCCGGAAGAGGAGAGUGGAAUUCCCGGUGUAGCGGUGAAAUGCGCAGAUAUCGGGAAGAACACCCGUGGCGAAGGCGGCUCUCUGGGACGGUACUGACGCUGAGACGCGAAAGCGUGGGGAGCGAACAGG